rnacentral:rRNA from 1 species
GACGUAGGGUGCAAGCGUUAUCCGGAUUCAUUGGGCGUAAAGAGUUGCGUAGGCGGUUUGUCGCAUUUCACUUAAAAUGCUAUGGCUCAACCAUAGUUUUGGGUGAAAUAUGGGCAAACUAGUAGAAUGGAGAGGGUACUGGAACAGAUCAUGUAGCAGUGAAAUGCGUUGAUAUGAUCUGGAACACCAAAGGCGUAGGCAGGUACCUGGUCAUUUCUAGACGCUGAGGCACGAAAGCCUGGGGAGCGAAGCAG